rnacentral:rRNA from 1 species
GACGAACGCUGGCGGCGUGCUUAACACAUGCAAGUCGUACGGUAAGGCCCUUUCGGGGGUACACGAGUGGCGAACGGGUGCGUAACACGUGAGUAACCUGCCCACAACUUUGGGAUAACGCUAGGAAACUGGUGCUAAUACUGGAUAUGUGCUCCUGCUGCAUGGUGGGGGUUGGAAAGCUCCGGCGGUUGUGGAUGGACUCGCGGCCUAUCAGCUUGUUGGUGGGGUAGUGGCCUACCAAGGCGGCGACGGGUAGCCGGCCUGAGAGGGUGACCGGCCACAUUGGGACUGAGAUACGGCCCAGACUCCUACGGGAGGCAGCAGUGGGGAAUAUUGCACAAUGGGCGCAAGCCGGAUGCAGCAACGCCGCGGGCGGGAUGACGGCCUUCGGGUUGUAAACCGCUUUCAGCAGGGACGAAGCUUUUUGUGACGGUACCUGCAGAAGAAGCACCGGCUAACUACGUG